rnacentral:tRNA from 1 species
GGGGUUGUGGCUCAGUGGCUCUACAGCACUCACCUAGCAUGUGUGAGGCACUGGGUUCCAUUCUCAGCAUCACAU